rnacentral:rRNA from 2 species
UGCAAGUCGAGCGAACAGAAGGGAGCUUGCUCCCGGAUGUUAGCGGCGGACGGGUGAGUAACACGUGGGUAACCUGCCUGUAAGACUGGGAUAACUCCGGGAAACCGGAGCUAAUACCGGAUAGUUCCUUGAACCGCAKGGUUCAAGGAUGAAAGACGGUUUCGGCUGUCACUUACAGAUGGACCCGCGGCGCAUUAGCUAGUUGGUGGGGUAAUGGCUCACCAAGGCGACRAUGCGUAGCCRACCUGAGAGGGUGAUCGGCCACACUGGGACUGAGACACGGCCCAGACUCCUACGGGAGGCAGCAGUAGGGAAUCUUCCGCAAUGGACGAAAGUCUGACGGAGCAACGCCGCGUGAGUGAUGAAGGUUUUCGGAUCGUAAAGCUCUGUUGUUAGGGAAGAACAAGUGCGAGAGUAACUGCUCGCACCUUGACGGUACCUAACCAGAAAGCCACGGCUAACUACGUGCCAGCAGCCGCGGUAAUACGUAGGUGGCAAGCGUUGUCCGGAAUUAUUGGGCGUAAAGGGCUCGCAGGCGGUUUCUUAAGUCUGAUGUGAAAGCCCCCGGCUCAACCGGGGAGGGUCAUUGGAAACUGGGAAACUUGAGUGCAGAAGAGGAGAGUGGAAUUCCACGUGUAGCGGUGAAAUGCGUAGAGAUGUGGAGGAACACCAGUGGCGAAGGCGACUCUCUGGUCUGUAACUGACGCUGAGGAGCGAAAGCGUGGGGAGCGAACAGGAUUAGAUACCCUGGUAGUCCACGCCGUAAACGAUGAGUGCUAAGUGUUAGGGGGUUUCCGCCCCUUAGUGCUGCAGCUAACGCAUUAAGCACUCCGCCUGGGGAGUACGGUCGCAAGACUGAAACUCAAAGGAAUUGACGGGGGCCCGCACAAACGGUGGAGCAUGU